CUGGUUGUGUGUUAUGUUCCUAGUUUAGUUUCUGUAUUGACUUGUGCCAGCAAUAAAGCUGAGUUUUUUGAGUUCACGUUUUGCCUCUGAAAGUCUGCAUUUGGGUCCUAUCUGCCUGCUCCACACACAGUUCAUGACAAACACUCCAGAUUCUUUGGGUGAUGACUGGUAGAACAUCUUCGGCCGCUAUUUUUUGAGUUGACUGGAAGGAAAGGCGUGACCUCAAAGAUAGGAACUCCACCACCAGCUCAGCAAAAUCGCCUAGCAACCCAGGUAUGCUUUUACUGUUUGGGAUCAUUGUCAUGAAAAAUGAAGAUGCUGCCCAAUCAGAUGCUUCACAUGUGGUAUUGCAUGGCUCCGCUUGCUGCUCCCGCAGCUGCCACACAUCACUUCAGGAAUCUGAUGAACUGUACCAACCUCAGAUUAACCUCCAGCCCCGUCUUUCUUUUUCUGCAAUCCCAGACCGUCACUGGAGAUCUCUGCCUUGAUACACUCUACAGCCAGAGGUCUACAAUUCCUUGGAUUUAAAGGCUUUGUUUGUGCUCUGACAUGCACUGUCAACUAUGGGACCUUUAAUAGACUGGUUUGUGCCUUUCCAAAUCAUGUCUAACCAACUUCAGCACAGGUGGAGUCCAAUCAAGUUGUAAAACAUCUCUCAGAUGAUUGGUGGAAACAGGAUGUACCUGAGUCAUGGAAAAGGCA